UGCUCCAGGGGUGACGUCACCGCGUCGCACCUCAGUGUCAGCGGCAGCGCGGGAGGCGUCUGGAGGCGUCGGGACGCUGGCUGCAGGGGCCACGCGGGCUGCGCUGUGUCUUCGGCCUCACUUCACCUGGGGGAAAAGAGACUUCGAGCGCACCCGCAGCCUUCGGGCUGAAGAGCCGUCCAGAGUGGACCGACUGGGGUGCCCGCCUCCGCCUCAGGAACACGCAUUUCUACUGAGCCUGGAGUUUCAAGCAUAUGUCUCAGGGAGAAGAGACCCAUAUAAAGGCAAUUACAACUGGUGAGUGAUUAAUGUUGGGUCUGACAUUUUUAUGUGUCAAAUAUGUUUAACUGCAUUAACCUUUGCAGAAUUUAUAUCCAUGUUCUGAGAUCUAUCUUGUACAGUGUCUGAAAUAUCUGCAAUCUGCCUUCACUUAAAUCUUAUUUACAUUUAUUUUAUUACAAUAUAAAUGGGUUUUAAAGAAUCUGAACGGAGUAAUUUACCCCAUCCUGCAGGUCCUGCUGGCACUGUGGGGAGUCAGAGGGCAGCAGGGUUCUUUGCUGAUUGCACAGAGUCCCAGCCACCUGUCUGGGGGCCCCAG
rnacentral:lncRNA from 1 species